rnacentral:rRNA from 1 species
AGUCGGAUAUUACAAUGGGGGCAACCCUGAUGGUGCAACGCCGCGUGGAGGAUGACGGUCCUAGGAUUGUAAACUCCUGUCAUUGGGGAGUAAGACUUGGUUGUUAAUAGCCUCCAAGUUUGAUAGUACCCAAAGAGGAAGGGACGGCUAACUUCGUGCCAGCAGCCGCGGUAAUA